rnacentral:tRNA from 1 species
GGGCCGCUAGCUCAACAGGUAGAGCAACUGACUCUUAAUCAGUAGGUCCCGGGUUCGAGUCCCUGGCGGCCCACCA